GCAAACUUGGUCAUUUAGAGGAAGUAAAAGUCGUAACAAGGUUUCCGUAGGUGAACCUGCGGAAGGAUCAUUAGUGAAAUAAACUUGUGUGAGUUGUUGCUGGUCACCUCGGUGGCAUGUGUGCACACUUGCUCAUUGUUUCAUUCCUCCCCUUCCACCUGUGCACUCAUUGUAGACCACACUGCAUCUAUCAGGUCUGUGCUUCCUGCAUUCUCCUGGCAAUGAGGAUUUGCUCCUUGGGGGGCUGUCCUUGGGUGGUGCUGGUCUAUGUUUUUAUCAACCCCAAUUGUAUGUGAUUGAAUGUAUGACCUGGGCUCUUCAUAGACCCAUAAACUUUAAUACAACUUUCAACAACGGAUCUCUUGGCUCUCGCAUCGAUGAAGAACGCAGC
rnacentral:misc_RNA from 1 species